GACGAACGCUGGCGGCGUGCUUAACACAUGCAAGUCGAGCGAACAGACGCGGAGUUUGUGCGUUGCUCGAUUGGCGCGCGGGGGAGUGUCACAUGAGUAACAUGCCCUUAACAGUGUGGUAAAUUCACGGGACUCGGGCGCAUACCGGGGAGGAGAUCCUGAAGCAUAGUGGUGGUUGGAGAGAUUCGGCGGUUGGGGAUGGACUCGCUGCUUAUGAGCUUGUUUGGGGGGUAGUGGAUUACCAAGGCUUUGACGGGUAGCCGGCCUGAGAGGGUUACCGGCCACAUGGGGACUGCGAGACGGAGCAGAAUCCAAUGGGAGGCAGCAGGGGGGAACAUUGCACAACGGGCGGAAGCCUGAUGCAGCAACGCCGCGUGCGGGAUGACGGCCUUUGGGUUGUAAACCGCUUUCGAAUGUGACGAAGCGUGAGUGACGGUACCGGGUAAAGAAGCCACGGCUAACUACGUG
rnacentral:rRNA from 1 species